rnacentral:rRNA from 2 species
UGAGCGGCACAGCUCAAUUUGAAAUCUGGCUCUUUCAGGGUCCGAGUUGUAAUUUGUAGAGGGUGCUUUGGAGUCGACUGUGGUCUAAGUUCCUUGGAACAGGACGUCGCAGAGGGUGAGAAUCCCGUAUGUGGCCGCCAGUCUUCUCCGUGUAAAGCCCCUUCGACGAGUCGAGUUGUUUGGGAAUGCAGCUCUAAAUGGGAGGUAAAUUUCUUCUAAAGCUAAAUAUUGGCCAGAGACCGAUAGCGCACAAGUAGAGUGAUCGAAAGAUGAAAAGCACUUUGGAAAGAGAGUCAAAAAGCACGUGAAAUUGUUGAAAGGGAAGCGCUUGCAGCCAGACUUGCCUGUAGUUGCUCAUCCGGGCUUUUGCCCGGUGCACUCUUCUAUAGGCAGGCCAGCAUCAGUCGCGGCGGUUGGAUAAAUGUCUGCACAAUGUACCUCUCUUCGGGGAGGACUUAUAGGGCAGGCGGCAUACAACCAGCUGCGAUUGAGGUCCGCGCAUCUGCUAGGAUGCUGGCGUAAUGGCUGUAA